GUCGAGUGUGCGCAUGCGCGUUUUAGGAUAACAGUUCCACAGAAGAUACCAUGGCAAAAGCAACGACUAUUAAAGAAGCUUUGGCGAAGUGGGAGGCGAAGUCAGGGGAAAAAGCAGCUGAUGCUAAAGAAGUGAAGCUCUAUGGCCAAAUCCCUCCUAUUGAAAAGAUGGAUGCGUCUCUCUCCACCCUGACUAACUGCGAGAAACUGUCAUUGUCAACGAACUGUAUUGAAAAAAUUGCCAACCUAAAUGCAUUAAAGAACCUCAAGAUAUUAUCCUUAAGUCGUAACAACAUCAAGAACCUUAAUGGACUAGACCCUGUAGGGGACACAUUGGAGGAGCUAUGGAUCUCCUACAACCUCAUAGAGAAGCUGAAGGGAAUCCAUGUGAUGAAGAAGCUCCGUGUCCUGUACAUGUCCAACAACUCGGUCAAAGAUUGGGGGGAGUUUAUGAAGCUGGCAGAAAUUUCAUCAUUGGUAGACCUGGUCUUUGUGGGCAAUCCUUUAGAAGAGAAGUACUCUGCUGAAGGUACCUGGAUAGAUGAGGCCACCAAGAGGGUCCCCAAUCUGAAGAAGCUUGAUGGGAUCCCAGUGAUUAGCCAAGAACAGGAGGAGAAGGAGGCAGAAAGUUAAGAUCUUCACUGGGUGGUAGUGAGGGGAGCAGACACAACAGUCUUGGUGGGUUUCCUCAGUUGGAUGAGCAAGGUGUUAUGUUCGCUGUGUUAUGAUUACUGUUAUGACCACUGGCGCAGAGACCAGCUUAAUGUUUGAGUACAGCACAUACUAGGUGAGCUAUCACACACAUUUCACAAAGUUAACAAAGUGCACACAUCUGUAAACCCCCCCCCCCCAUGUUCCUUCCAGGCCUCUGUAUAUUUGUGUGUAACACUUUAUUUUGCACAUUAUCCAUUUUUGGCUUUUAAUUAGAGACAAAGCACACAAUGACACUUCAUAACACAAAAUGCAUAUAAAUACAAACCACAACAAACUUCAGAAAUAUAAAUAUAACUGGGAGGGAGCAAGGAAUUUGUAUGUAUACAAAUUGUAAUUUUUUUGUAAAUUCAGCUACAAAUCUGUUAUAUAUCUCAGGAUUUUCAGCCUGGAUAUAGGUUGGUCACAUGGCGUUGCAUCCGCCUCAUUAGAUAUGCAAGACAUGAACUGGUGGUCAGCUAAGCUGACUGUUCGCAAAGCGUUACUAUCACUGGAGCGCGUUGUUAGUCGUUAAAAUGCCCUGUGUGUGCGCGUUGUUUUGCACUGCUCAAAUCGAACAAACCGUGAAACUGAUAAGUUUCGUCCGGGUUCCCCAUGAAGUAAUAAAGGGUGAAAGAGCAAAGGUGAUGAAAAGUGGCUCUUGAACCUUUUGCUGUGAUGGAAGGGAGCCAAGUCAAAGGACGCUCAAGUUUGCAGUGAUCACUUCAAUAAAUUCCUCUGAUUUAUUUUGUUUGGAUUCACAAAUGAAUUUUCUCACCAUUUUCCAUUAUCUCAUGAUGUUUUGAAGUUCAGGAGACUCUCAGAUCCUCAUGUGUUUUUGUUUUGUUUGAUCAUGGUCGCCAUAUUGUCAACCAAAGCUCAUGUUUUCACUUUAUUAGGAUGUCCUAGAAAUCUUUGAUAUGCAGCGUUUAUUUAUUGUCACUGCAUUUUUUUUUUUUUUUUGUUUAAAAAAAAAAAGUAUCGUUUGCUGGAAGAGGAGCAGGGAAGGGUGAGAAUCGAGCAGCUGUGGUUUGUUUACACCCAAUAUUAAAACUUAGUGUCUUAGCAACCACUGCAAAGACGUGCACAAAAAGCCCAAAAAUGCCUGCUUACCCCAGAUCUUUAACCCAGCCAUGUAUAAAAAGUUGUAUGUCUCUAUGCUCUUCCAUGUUUUUAUCUGUUUGUCCAUGUUGAACGAUGUCAGCAGCACCAGGUUGUUUGAGGUGUCGGGGAACUCAACAGAUGGGGAAUUUUCCAACUCGUAGGAAAAAUCCUUCUUUGAUAACGUGUCUGUCCCAUUGCAAAGAACAACUUUCUGAAGAACGUUGCCCCCUUCCGGAUACAAACCAUCAGUCUUCUGAUACGAAGUCUUCUGAUACGAACACUAUUUUUGCAAGAUUCAGAAUGACAUCCCAAAGAUGACGUCACCAUCGAACCGACGAUGUCUCAAUGAGUGGAGCUGUCGGGUGAAUCAGACUUGAGCCUUUUGGUUGAAUAAACAGGUUUAACCGUGAUAAUUUCUUUAAGUUAAAAAAAAAAACUUAAGAAGUGUUAUACUUUUAUCAUUGUGACAACCAGAAGUGAAUUAUGGGUAGCUCGUCUUGUGGCAGGAAUUUAAAAAAUUUACUGGGAAAUCUAUAGAGAUGGACCACCAAGUUCUGCUUAAUUUAAAUUGCUUCACAUCUCGAGACAAAUUUUGGAUAUGUUUCAAAUGAACUUCAAGCUUUAGAAGUACUUGGAGUUUGAAACAGCAAUAAGUUAAUUCUGUGUUUUUUAUUGCAAGAAAAGGUAAAUUCUUUGACAUUUUUUUAAUUACCCCUCCUCCCCUCACAGAAUUUAAUAUUAUGGGGACAAUUUAAUAUUCUAAUAUCAUAAAUAUAACUACUCUCAGAAGUAAGAAUUAAUAAUUCUUAGUAAUUAUAUGCAUUUUUUUUAAAUUUGCAAUAAAUUUUUUUAUUUAUACAUAGUAGGCUUUAAGGUUAGAAGCUUGUACCCUCCUUACACACUCAGGGAUGAUGGAACACAUUUUAAAUUGGAAGACUGGUAUGCAAAUUAGAGUGGGGAAAAAAAGAGGGGGCUAAGAUUAGAAAAUAUAAAAGACUCAGUAUGACACUCCUUACAACAUUUGAAUAAUCUACAACUCACAUGAGCAAGGAGGAAGGUUGGGAACGACCAUCACUGAACAGAGGUGGUGGUCUGAGACACCAUUUAUCAGCCACCUACAAUGCAGUCCUUGGCACACUUCCCAGAAAACUAAAUACACAUCCGCACCAAUACUCAGCUGAUGGCAGAGAGGGCCAGCGACCCACAGAUCACUCCAACGACCCUCUAGGCUGCUAACACCGUUCACACCCGGCCUCCAGCAACCAACAACCUACACGAUGGAUGUCAUGACCGAUAUGGAUCACAGAGACAUUCUGUAUAGUUUGUUAAACCUAUGUUGUGGAACCUAGAGAAUACAAUAAAAAAACAACAAUGCAAUGUCAGAUUGAUAGUAUUACAAAUAGUAAAAAAAAAAUUGACAUGGAAAUGGGAUAUGUUGACAAUACUUACUGCAGAAGUGAUUAAUAGGGGGGAAAUGAAAUGAAGACAAAAGAAAUGGAGAAAAUGUUAAGAAAAUAGUUUUUUUUUUUUUUUUUUUUUUUUUACCUUGCCCAGGACAGAGUCCACCAGGGGGCAAGGUGUGGUUUUUAGUGGGGUUUUUGUUAGCAACAUUAUGAGAAAAUGGCUGGACCAAUCUUCAUGAAACUUUCAGGAUAGAUUGGCAUUGGUCUCAAAUAGAACCUCCAACAUUUUGACGGUCAUCCGGUCAAGGUCACCAAAAAGGUUAAAAUCAUUUUUGGUGCAAAUGGUGUCCUGAAUGUGUCCCAAAUCACGCCCUACAUAUAUAGUAGAGUGUGAUUUGGGACACAUUGUGACUAUAUAAUCAGAUCGCCAUUUUGUAGUGCUGUCCGAAUGUAUAGCGAGUAUUAUUACAUUAUUAUAUAGUGCACUCAAAGUAUCUCGCAAUGCAUCAUGAAAGUAGUGCCACAGCAAAGUAGUUUUAUCAUUUAAUCAAUGAGCUCACUAUAUAGUCCUCCAUAGAGUAAGUCCCUAAAUAGUGAGUAGGGUGUAGUGAAUAUGAGUGAUUUAGGACACUGUUUGUAACCAAUCAGCACUUAUCCUGAUCAAGUUCAAUUACUCGUUCUAUUUCUUGAUGAACUUCUGAACUAAUCAGAACUAGAAACGAAAUAAGAGAAACCUCAUGAUAAUGUUGUAGUAUCGGAAGAUGAUCAGUAGAUAAAAAGAAACAAAAUUCACCUCGUGGUUCGCCAAGGCUACUGAUUCGAUGUCAAGUAAGUAGUGUUUAAGAAAAUUUACCUUUUGGUUAUCACAGCUCUUGUUUGGUCCUUCUGAAAAGUCAAAUAAAAAUUUUU